rnacentral:lncRNA from 1 species
UCCAAUCAGAACGCUAUCCCGUCCCUGAUACCUGAUGCCAGCUUUUCUGGUAAUGUAGGCCACUGAAGCAAAUCCAGAGAGAUUGAGUUUGAACUGAGAGUAUCAUCAGAUCUAUUUGGUUGGUUUUUCACUUUUUGCCUCCUCAUCACUGUCAACAGGGAAGAAUUUAUAAAAGGAUCAUUAGCUGAGAGCCUCCUAUCUGAUCUGGACUAAGAGGUGAGGGCACUGUUUAAAGCUGUGAGGCAAGGUGGAAAAACUAAGACGGAGUAUCAGGUUAAUGAAAGCAUGAGGUGGCUCUUAGGCAGCAGCUGGAGGAAAUUUGGACAUGCUGACAGGGGGAACUACGACUGGUUAACUAGUGAACCAGGUGUGCCACUUCUGGAAACCCAGUUGCAGAGCAGACAUCAGAUCAGCUCAACCAAAGAUGACGUAGAACCAUUUCUGUGCAUCAUCCUGCCUGCCACCAUGCUGCUCUUCCUGGCAUUCCUGCUGCUUUUCCUAUACCGCCGUUGCCAUCGACCCAGCCUCCAGGGGCAGAUCUUCAGUAUUGAUCUCCCAGAGCACCUACCUGAGCGUGAUGUGUCCGAUUUCCUUUCAGUGCUGCCCUGGAACAGUGAACAGAAUUUCCACUACUCCACUCUGCUCCCUGAAGCCACCUUCCUCACUCUAAGCUUGCCUCCAUCGUAUGAGGAGGCCACUAUGAAACCUCCUAUGGGAGAGGCUCACAUUGAGUUCUCUCAGGAUCCAGUGCCUCCUUAUGAAGAGAGUACACACUGGUCAACCAACAGUAAAUAAACUUCCUAAGGAAACACCUUUGGCUGAAGCUUACAACCCAUCAAAGCAUAAACAUGAGACACUAGUCAUUAACGUUAGUGACCAAAUUUUCAAACAAGAAAACCAACAAAGUUAAUUGAGGAAGGAGCUUGGGUUGAUGUGGGAUUACUUUAACACAUUUAAUGAUUCAGCAUUUCUAACCUCAAUUCACAGCAGCAAACACAGUUAAAUACCAGGUUGGUGUGGGAUGGGAGGAAUUGUGGGAAUAAAAUGAAUGAUGUACCUCA